rnacentral:rRNA from 1 species
UUGUUUGACGUUAGCGACAGAAGAAGCACCGGCUAACUCCGUGCCAGCACGCCGCGGUAAUACGGAGGGUGCGAGCGUUAAUCGGAAUUACUGGGCGUAAAAGCGCAUGCAGGUGGUUUGUUAAGUCAGAUGUGAAAAGCCCGGGCUCAACCUCGGAAAUAGCAUUUGAAAACUGGCAGACUAGAGUACUGUAGAGGGGGUAGAAUUUCAGGUGUAGCGGUGAAAAUGCGUAGAGAUCUGAAGGAAUACCGGUGGCGAAGGCGGCCCCCUGGACAGAUACUGACACUCAGAUGCGAAAGCGUGGGGAGCAAACAGGAUUAGAUACCCUGGUAG